rfam:Colinus virginianus strain Texas jcf7180006226336, whole genome shotgun sequence.
AGCGUACUUCUUUCCGCAUUCUUCCUCGUGGCCAAAAGCAAAUAUUUAUUCCCCGCAUAUUUUUCCUUUUCUUCCAGGCUCCAGCUCUGAAACCUGUGGAUUCCCCCGGGCAAACGGCUCUCGGCUGGCACGAAGCGGCCCGAUUUGUUUUCCUCCGCUUCCCGAGCAGCUUCCCCGCAUCGCCCUGCGGCGGAGCGGGUGAGCAGGGGAAGGGGAAGGAGCGGCAGCUCCGUGGGGCAGCGCUGCUUUCCAUACGGGUUGGACACGGCGAGAGGCCAAGGUCAAGUUGAAAGUUGCAGCCUAGCCAAUGUGAGAAGUGUCAUUCACAGCCCGAAGAUGUGUCUGAUUUGUUCAAAGCGGGGAGCCAUGAGAAAGCGAUCUCCCCAGCUCGCCUCC